UGAUAGUACCAGAAGAGGAAGGGACGGCUAACUCUGUGCCAGCAGCCGCGGUAAUACAGAGGUCCCAAGCGUUGUUCGGAUUCAUUGGGCGUAAAGGGUGCGUAGGUGGCGCCGUAAGUCGGGUGUGAAAUUUCGGAGCUUAACUCCGAAACUGCAUUCGAUACUGCGGUGCUUGAGGACUGGAGAGGAGACUGGAAUCUAUGGUGUAGCAGUGAAAUGCGUAGAGAUCAUAAGGAAGACCAGUGGCGAAGGCGGGUCUCUGGACAGUUCCUGACACUGAGGCACGAAGGCCAGGGGAGCAAACGGGAUUAGAUACCCCGGUAGUCCUGGCAGUAAACGGUGCACGUUUGGUGUGGGGGGAUUCGACCCCUUCCGCGCCGGAGCUAACGCGUUAAACGUGCCGCCUGGGGAGUACGGUCGCAAGAUUAAAACUCAAAGAAAUUGACGGGGGCCCGCACAAGCGGUGGAGUAUGUGGCUUAAUUCGAUGCAACGCGAAGAACCUUACCAGGCCUUGACAUGCAUUUCUAAGUUGGUGAAAGCCAGCGAAUGUCGAAAGACAUAACUUGCACAGGUGCUGCAUGGCUGUCGUCAGCUCGUGUCGU
rnacentral:rRNA from 1 species